AGCUUGCUCUGUGGAUCAGUGGCGAACGGGUGAGUAACACGUGAGCAAUCUGCCCCUGACUCUGGGAUAAGCGCUGGAAACGGCGUCUAAUACCGGAUACGAGCUGCGACCGCAUGGUCAGUAGCUGGAAAGAAUUUCGGUCAGGGAUGAGCUCGCGGCCUAUCAGCUUGUUGGUGAGGUAAUGGCUCACCAAGGCGUCGACGGGUAGCCGGCCUGAGAGGGUGACCGGCCACACUGGGACUGAGACACGGCCCAGACUCCUACGGGAGGCAGCAGUGGGGAAUAUUGCACAAUGGGCGCAAGCCUGAUGCAGCAACGCCGCGUGAGGGAUGACGGCCUUCGGGUUGUAAACCUCUUUUAGCAGGGAAGAAGCGAAAGUGACGGUACCUGCAGAAAAAGCGCCGGCUAACUACGUGCCAGCAGCCGCGGUAAUACGUAGGGCGCAAGCGUUAUCCGGAAUUAUUGGGCGUAAAGAGCUCGUAGGCGGUCUGUCGCGUCUGCUGUGAAAACCCGAGGCUCAACCUCGGGCCUGCAGUGGGUACGGGCAGACUAGAGUGCGGUAGGGGAGAUUGGAAUUCCUGGUGUAGCGGUGGAAUGCGCAGAUAUCAGGAGGAACACCGAUGGCGAAGGCAGAUCUCUGGGCCGUAACUGACGCUGAGGAGCGAAAGGGUGGGGAGCAAACAGGCUUAGAUACCCUGGUAGUCCACCCCGUAAACGUUGGGAACUAGUUGUGGGGUCCAUUCCACGGAUUCCGUGACGCAGCU
rnacentral:rRNA from 1 species